UACGUAGGGGGCAAGCGUUAUCCGGAUUUACUGGGUGUAAAGGGAGCGUAGACGGCAAGGCAAGUCUGAUGUGAAAGCUCGGGGCUCAACCCCGGAACUGCAUUGGAAACUGUUUUGCUAGAGUGCAGGAGAGGUAAGUGGAAUUCCUAGUGUAGCGGUGAAAUGCGUAGAUAUUAGGAGGAACACCAGUGGCGAAGGCGGCUUACUGGACUGUAACUGACGUUGAGGCUCGAAAGCGUGGGGAGCAAACAGGAUUAGAUACCCUGGUAGUCCACGCUGUAAACGAUGAUUACUAGGUGUCGGGGGUCGAUAGACUUUCGGUGCCGCAGCUAACGCAAUAAGUAAUCCACCUGGGGAGUACGUUCGCAAGAAUGAA
rnacentral:rRNA from 1 species